AAGCUCGUAGUUGAAUUUCGGGGUUAGUAGGUUGGUCAUGCCUCUGGUAUGUACUGGUCUCACUGAUUCCUCCUUCCUUAUGAACCGUAAUGCCAUUAAUUUGGUGUUGCGGGGAAUUUGGGCUGUUACUUUGAAAAAAUUAGAGUGUUUAAAGCAAGCUAACGCUUGAAUACAUUAGCAUGGAAUAAUGAAAUAGGACGUUCGAUCUUAUUUUGUUGGUUUCUAGGAUUGACGUAAUGAUUAAUAGGGAUAGUUGGG
rnacentral:rRNA from 1 species